UACGGAGGGGGCUAGCGUUGUUCGGAAUUACUGGGCGUAAAGCGCACGUAGGCGGCUUUGUAAGUUAGAGGUGAAAGCCCAGGGCUCAACCCUGGAAUUGCCUUUAAGACUGCAUCGCUUGAACAUCGGAGAGGUAAGUGGAAUUCCGAGUGUAGAGGUGAAAUUCGUAGAUAUUCGGAAGAACACCAGUGGCGAAGGCGACGUGCUGGGUUGCAACUGACGCUGAGAUGCGAAAGUGUGGGGAGCAAACGGG
rnacentral:rRNA from 1 species